rnacentral:rRNA from 1 species
ACAGAACUGUGGGGACGCAGAAGGAGAGCACGAGCCGGAAAUGGAAAAGCCGGUACAAGCGUAUAGCAGUCAUGCAGGCAAAACCGCAUGAAAAAUGUAAAGCGUUAUGUGGAUCGUACAUUAGUAGAGAAGCGUGUGAGCCAGCUGCCAAGAAAAGCCGCUAUUGCUUCAUAAGUACCCGUACCGUAAACCGACACAGGUGGAUGAGGAGAGAAUCCUAAGGCCGGCGGGAGAAGUGUUGUUAAGGAACUCGGCAAAAUGACUCCGUAACUUCGGGAGAAGGAGUGCCACAGAGAUGUGGCCGCAGAGAAAUGGCCCAAGCAACUGUUUAGCAAAAACACAGGUCUAUGCAAAACCGAAAGGUGAGGUAUAUGGGCUGACGCCUGCCCGGUGCUGGAAGGUUAAGAGGAGAGGUUAGAGCAAUCGAAGCUUUGAAUUUAAGCCCCAGUAAACGGCGGCCGUAACAAUAACGGUCCUAAGGUAGCGAAAUUCCUUGUCGGGUAAGUUCCGACCCGCACGAAAGGCGUAAUGAUUUGGGCACUGUCUCAACAACACACCCGGUGAAAUUGAAAUACCAGUGAAGAUGCUGGUUACCUGCGCCAGGACGGAAAGACCCCAUGGAGCUUUACUCCAGUUUGAUACUGGGAUUCGGUACUGUCUGUACAGGAUAGGUGGGAGGCUAGGAAAUGGUGACGCCAGUUGCCAUGGAGCCAACCUUGGGAUACCACCCUUACAGUACUGGGUUUCUAACCUGCAGCCGUAACCCGGCUGGGGGACAAUGUCUGACGGGGAGUUUGACUGGGGCGGUCGCCUCCGAAAGAGUAUCGGAGGCGCUCAAAGGUUCCCUCAGAACGGUUGGAAACCGUUCGAAGAGUGCAAAGGCAGAAGGGAGCUUGACUGCGACACCGACGGGUGGAGCAGAUACGAAAGUAGGACUUAGUGAUCCGGUGGUAUAAAGUGGGAUUGCCAUCGCUCAACGGAUAAAAGCUACCCUGGGAUAACAGGCUUAUCACUCCCAAGAGUUCACAUCGACGGAGUGGUUUGGCACCUCGAUGUCGGCUCAUCGCAUCCUGGAGCUGUAGCAGGUUCCAAGGGUUGGGCUGUUCGCCCAUUAAAGCGGUACGCGAGCUGGGUUCAGAACGUCGUGAGACAGUUCGGUCCCUAUCCGGCGUGGGCGUAGGAUAUUUGAGAGGAGCUGUCCUUAGUACGAGAGGACCGGGAUGGACAAACCUCUGGUGUAUCUGUUGUUUUACCAAAGGCAUGGCAGAGUAGCCAAGUUUGGCAGGGAUAAACGCUGAAGGCAUCUAAGCGUGAAGCCCCCCUCAAGAUAAGAUAUCCCAUCUUCGGAGUAAGACCCCUUGAAGACUACAAGGUUGAUAGGCUUUGUGUGUAAGUGCGGUAACGCACUCAGCUGAGAAGUACUAAUAGGUCGAGGACUUA